rnacentral:rRNA from 1 species
AGAGUUUGAUCAUGGCUCAGCCCUUUACGCUGGCGGCGCGCCUAACACAUGCAAGUCGAACGGCCCCCAUUUUAGAGUUUACUUUGGGAUGGUUUAGUGGCGGACGGGUGAGUAACACGUGAGCAACCUACCUUUCAGAGGGGGAUAACAGUUGGAAACGACUGCUAAUACCGCAUAACGUUGUAAAAGGGCAUCCAUUUACAACCAAAAGAGAAAUCUGCUGAAAGAUGGGCUCGCGGCCGAUUAGAUAGUAGGCGGGGUAACGGCCCACCUAGUCAACGAUCGGUAGCCGGACUGAGAGGUUGAACGGCCACAUUGGGACUGAGACACGGCCCAGACUCCUACGGGAGGCAGCAGUGGGGGAUAUUGCACAAUGGGCGAAAGCCUGAUGCAGCGACGCCGCGUGAGGGAAGACGGUCUUCGGAUUGUAAACCUCUGUCUUUGGGGAAGAAUAGAGACGGUACCCAAAGAGGAAGCUCCGGCUAACUACGUGCCAGCAGCCGCGGUAAUACGUAGGGAGCGAGCGUUGUCCGGAAUUACUGGGUGUAAAGGGAGCGUAGGCGGGCUUGUAAGUUGAAUGUCUAAUCCACCGGCUCAUCCGGUGAUCGCGUUCACAACUGCAGGUCUUGAGUGAAGUAUAGGCAGGCGGAAUUCCUAGUGUAGCGGUGAACUGCGUACAUAUUAGGAGGAACACCCUUGGCGAAGGCGGCCUGCUGGGCUUUAUCUGACGCUGAAGCUCGAAAGCGUGGGGGAGCAAACAGGAUUAGAUACCCUGCUAUCCCCCGCCGUAAACGAUGAUUACUAGGUGUGGGGGAGAUCAUACUUUUCCGUGCCGGAGUAAACACAAUAAUUAAUCCCCCCCGGGGGAUUACGGGCCUUCCGGUUUGAACUCUCCAAG